UAAAGAAUUUCGGUUAUCGAUGGGGAUGCGUUCCAUUAGUUAGUUGGCGGGGUAACGGCCCACCAAGACGACGAUGGAUAGGGGUUCUGAGAGGAAGGUCCCCCACAUUGGAACUGAGACACGGUCCAAACUCCUACGGGAGGCAGCAGUGAGGAAUAUUGGUCAAUGGACGAGAGUCUGAACCAGCCAAGUAGCGUGAAGGAUGACUGCCCUAUGGGUUGUAAACUUCUUUUAUAUGGGAAUAAAACAGGGUAUGCAUACCCUCUUGUAUGUACCAUAUGAAUAAGGAUCGGCUAACUCCGUGCCAGCAGCCGCGGUAAUACGGAGGAUCCGAGCGUUAUCCGGAUUUAUUGGGUUUAAAGGGAGCGUAGGUGGAUUGUUAAGUCAGUUGUGAAAGUUUGCGGCUCAACCGUAAAAUUGCAGUUGAAACUGGCAGUCUUGAGUACAGUAGAGGUGGGCGGAAUUCGUGGUGUAGCGGUGAAAUGCUUAGAUAUCACGAAGAACUCCGAUUGCGAAGGCAGCUCACUAGACUGCAACUGACACUGAUGCUCGAAAGUGUGGGUAUCAAACAGGAUUAGAUACCCUGGUAGUCCACACAGUAAAC
rnacentral:rRNA from 1 species